rnacentral:rRNA from 1 species
GUCGAGGGGCAGCAUAGGGUAGCAAUACUCUGAUGGCGACCGGCAAACGGGUGAGUAACGCGUAUGCAACCUACCCUGUACAGGGGGAUAACCCGGAGAAAUUCGGACUAAUAUCCCGUAAUAAUAUCCGGAGGCAUCUUUGGAUAUUUAAAGUUCCGACGGUACGGGAUGGGCAUGCGUAACAUUAACUGGUUGGUAAGGUAACGGCUUACCAAGGCUAUGAUGUUUAGGGGUCCUGAGAGGGUGGUCCCCCACACUGGUACUGAGACACGGACCAGACUCCUACGGGAGGCAGCAGUGAGGAAUAUUGGUCAAUGGGCGCAAGCCUGAACCAGCCAUCCCGCGUGCAGGAAGACGGCCCUAUGGGUUGUAAACUGCUUUUCCAGGGAGAGAAACUUACGCACGUGUUGCGUGACUGACGGUACCCUGGGAAUAAGCAUCGGCUAACUCCGUGCCAGCAGCCGCGGUAAUACGGAGGAUGCAAGCGUUAUCCGGAUUCAUUGGGUUUAAAGGGUGCGUAGGCGGGCUAUUAAGUCAGUGGUGAAAUCCUGCAGCUUAACUGCAGAACUGCCGUUGAUACUGAUAGUCUUGAGUUUGGUUAAGGUAGGCGGAAUGUGUAAUGUAGCGGUGAAAUGCUUAGAUAUUACACAGAACACCAAUUGCGUA